rnacentral:lncRNA from 1 species
GGUUUACGGUUUGAUUGUUGCAUUAUGUUUUGGGUCAAGUAUUUAAGUGGGAUGUGUAGUCCAUUGAAUAAGCUUCCCAUAGAAUCCAAGGUCAUUUUUGGACUUCAAGUCUAAGAGCUAUGGUAAGAGCCUCAAUUAGCACAUUAGUUUUGUAAAAACAUGCAUCAAAAUUCACUGGUGAACAGCCAAGAAGUUGCACGAAUAGUGACUCAAGAGAGCAUGUUUUGGGCUACCAAACAUUGGAUUUCUCUGGUGCUCCACCAAAGAAAGCACAAGAGUUUUAGAAAUUGUCGAAAAAUAGUUGUUGAAGGUUGGCCCAUAUGACUAGCCAUGGACUCGAUCUUACCAUCUGUACUGCAGUAGCGCGAUAUAAGAGCUUAUAAUGGCUAGUUUUUUUUUGUUCUCCUUUAUGUAUAGAGGGAUGACUAGCUAUGGGGCAACUCUCGGCCACUUCGAUAUAUUGUAUACUUGGUGAGAGCCUCAUUUUAACCACCCCUCUCAGUCUGCAAUGAAAGUAUAAUGUGGAGAGUGGGUGAGUACUCUAAUAUGGUGCAUUGAGAGAUUAAUCGAGUGAUACUAGGUGAUUGUGUUCUCCUUUAUGUAUAGAGGGAUGACUAGCUAGGGCAACUCUCGAACACUUUGAUAUAUUGUAUACUUGGUGAGAGCCUCAUUUUAACCACCCCUCUCAGUCUGCAACGAAAGUAUAAUUUGGAGAGUGGGUGAGUGCUUCUAAUAUAGUGCAUUGAGAGAUUAAUCGAGUGAUACUAGGUGAUUGCUUUGCAAGCGGUUUUUCUUGUUACUCUUGGAGAUUAUUGCCUCCUAGAAAGUUGAAGGUUGUGAUAUCGUGAAAGCACUGCAAGGAGAUUGUACAGUCACUCUAUAGUUUGUUUUGUGAUGGGCUCUUGUGCUUGUCCCCACCAGAGAAAGGCAAAGAGUAACUUUAGUAUAAACAUGGUGUGGAGUGGUUCGCGAUGAAGAUUGAACCCACCUCAACGUGGGUUAUGGGUGACGGGCAAGUCACCAAGACCAAGAGAAAGAACUCAAUGUCUUCAAUUGUGGUUUGAUCACUUGAGCUCUUUACAUUCAAGUUAUUUACAUUGUUAGAAAUAUUUUUUUGAGUAGUUAGAAAUAUAAUGGCUUGCUUGUCACCAUAGGAUUGCAAAACUCGACUUAGACUUAGGGACCUUGUGGACUCAAUACCUAGGGGUGUGGUCAUGUUUUGGCUACUAGUUUUAAUUGCACACGCUUAUUGUCUUGGUCUUGCUAAUGGUUUUUAAACUAAUUGUUUACCCCUCCUCUAGUCGGCCUUCUUGAUCCUAAUAGCUAUUGACAUGCACGUCGCCUAGCACUUAAAAAGCAACAUCAUUGAGUCAUGACAUAGAUUUAUUAAAAUGUGAACAUCUACAUUAAGG